UGAAUAGGCACUUGCAGUUAUGGUGGAGUUGUUUAUCAAGUUGGAGCCGGGUUUGAAUGCCUCGAUGGAGCAAACCGCUGUUCAUGCAACACUAAUAAUGGUAUAGGGUCUUCUGCAGCGGCAUCGAAUGAAAAACUGAUAUGCAAGAAAUAAAUUCGUUGAAUAACUGAAUGGGAUUCAAGAAAAGAAAAUAAAUUUUUGUAAAAGAUGAAUCGUGCUUUUCUUUUAUUUCUUCUUUGUGAUGAUG
rnacentral:lncRNA from 1 species